CCUUGUGAGUUAUUGACUCUGCGCCUUGGGAUUUCUCGUUUUGUUUUCUUUCUCCAAAACCCUACUACAUUUUCCUUUAGAUAUUUACUCUUUUUCCAUACUUUCUGCUUCAGUUCUAGCUAUGUUUGCACCUUCUAAUGGACAUGAUACCUUCUAAUGGACAUGAUGUAGAUUUUGAAUCGUAGUUAUUUGCUUGGCGAUGAACAAUUUGAGUACGCGUUGGAUUUAUAUGUUUUUUGUUUAAUUCUGUGGUGCUUUUGGAUGAUCAUAUACGAUUAUUAACAAAUAUGAUGAUAUUUGGAUUGUCCUAAUUGAAAGGUGCUUUCAUGAUCCAUUUUCAUGUAGUUUUUGCGGUAUUUCCCUGCUUAUAGAUGAGAAGCAAGUGACUAUUUUGCAGCUAAUUCCUAAUUUCUUUCGAUAAUCGCUGUGUCCACGUCUGUUUGUGAGCAUUUAUUAAUUUUACGGGAUUUCUGUUAGUUUCAAACAUAUAUAAGCUUUUGGUGUAUCAGCUGCCACCAUCUUUUAAUUUUACGGAUAGCUGUUACCUCCCAUCAGCAAUAUGUAUCAUAUAUGAUUAUCAAAUAUGUCAAUUUGAUACUGAUGUGAUUUGGAUUGUCCUAAUUGAAGGUGAUUUCAUCGGACAAUUGAAGGUGUUUUCAUUGAUGUCGAUUUUCGGCAACUUUUUUUUUUUGUGGUGUUUCUCCACUUAUGGAUGAGAAGCAAGUGAUUGUUUUGCAUCUAAUUCUUACUUUUUUGGGAUAAGCGUGGUGUUGCUUCAGCACGCACUUCUAACUAAUUCAAUGGAAUAGGUAACUCUUUCUAGCAAAGCUAGGACCGGACACAUGAGAGGAGAGCACCCAAGUAUUUUUGCUUCAGCUGAAAUUUGAACCUGAACCCUCUAGGCCAUAACAACAAGUCAUGAGCAUAUCAACAAUUGCUAGCUCCUAUGAUUAGGAACAAAUCAAUUCUCGAGCCUUGCUAUUAUCCCGCUAUUCAGCCACACCCUUUGGUGCUAGUUAAUUCUUAAUUUUAUAUGUGGAAAAUUGGUCAAGAUAUCUUUUGUAUUUUUGGAAAGUUCAACCAUGCAGUGGAGUUGUCUGUUUGAACCUGAUCCUCUUCUGCUUUUCACAAUUCGUUGAUUGAUCUUUUUCUGGAAUGCUUUAUGUUCUUAGCUGGAUAUCUUUUCCUAGGUCGUUAAGGAUGAGCGGAUGGUGAUAUCGGAUUUAUAUGAAAGGGUUAUCGUCUGUUUUUUAUGCUGCAGAGUUUGCUUUUGCUGUUCUAUAUAUUGGGUUAGUUGAAUAGUUUUUGAUGCUUGUAAGAUGUAUCUUAGAAGAAUCAGGAAAACCUUUGCUUAUAUUCCACUUGGUUGUAGAAAUUGACUUUCUUGGACUGUUGAUGCUCGAAGGAAUGAGCUGCUAUCUUUUUGUUCCAACCCAGAUUCUUUUCUGGACUGGCCUUGAAAUUUUUGAAUUGGACUGCUUUGAUCUGUCGGACGAUGUUCUUCCUAUUUUCAUUGUCCUUCUGUUUAUCAUGCUGUGCCUUUGAAUGAGGAGUAGAAUUGGGAUAGAUUUAAAUGUGGAAGUUGGUCCCCAAUUAUAAAGCCUCAUCCCGUUUAUGAUGCAGAUCUUGUCAGCUUGAGAGGAAGAGGGGGAUUUUUCUCAUGUUGUUGUUCUCGUGUCUGAUGACUGCCCAAGUUGGCAAGGUAUUUGUUGAUUGAAUUAGACAUGGAAAAUUGGUACGAUGCUUUCUUAUGUUGGUUGGACCUUGGUUGGUAUGCGCUUGAUUGACAAGGUUGUCUAUUCUCUUAACGCAUCAUCUUUUUUGUCAAGCUUCAUUGAUUGCUAUGAUUCUCGAUUCAAAUUAUCUCUACUGGUGGUUGUCUCAAUUCCCUAUCUUUUGUCCGAUCUCAAAAUUAUUUCCUUAUUUUCUUGUAUAGUUGUAGCAAAACAACUCCAUCUGCAUGAUAUUUAGCAACCAGGUAUGCUGCUUCAUUUUUAGUGGUUGCUGGGUUGGCUAUUAACCCUAAGAAAUAAGAAAAUCUGAGAGAACGUUUUGAUUUGACAUAGGAUUGUCAGUUAAGUUAGUUUUUGCACGAUGCUUACAGACUCUUCCUCUUCUACUUUAUCAUUGUUCCACUCACAUGUCUUGUUCCUUGUUUCUUCUUGUUGGGGCUUCUUAUAAAAACAAUCCUUUUUGUGGGGUUGAUCUUGAUCUUGUAUGCGCAUUACAGUGCAUAUUUAUGCUUUGCUGUUUCUAACUUGUUGAUCUAGUUAUAAUUGUUCUAAAGGGAAGAUUGAACUAUGAGUUCGCGUUUUGAAUCUCGAGUAUUCUUUCUAGUAGGAGGUUCAGUGGUCAUUAUUUUCUUGAUGAUAGUAGGUGAUUAGUGCAUGUAUCCGGACUCUUCACAUUCGGUGCCGCAACCGUGUCGGAUUCUCCAAAAUACACUACUUUUGGAGAAGCCGACACACACCUGCUGACAUUUUUGAAGAGUCCGAGCAACAUAGAAUGUAUCAGGGGACUGGUCACAGUUUAAUCAUGUUUGGAUUCGUAUUGCAAGGUGUUUGUCACGUAUGUAGGUGCUUUGGACCUUUUUUGGGAUUUCAGCAGGGCAGUGAGCAAUUUUUUGGAACUGAUUUCUCAUCCUCCGUCAAUUUAACAACAUUCUAUCGAUAUUUUUACCUAUUGUUCUCUCCCUUGGUUUUCCAAUUUUGGUGCAGUCUGAGUUGUUAUGGAUGCGUGGAUGUGGACUUGUUGAAUUCAACUUGUGAACGGUGCGAGUUACUUUGCAAGUUAUUUCUCUUUAGCCGAAGACACUUCUUAGCUUAUUUAGUAUACUGGGAUUAGAGGCUUGUUUUUAGAUGUUCAUCUCCUGGCUAAUCCAGAACAAGAAAUCCAACUUUCUUGGACUGCUGUUAUUCACAAGUAUGAGCUGCUGUUAAUUUGGACCAUUAGCUUAUGCUCUUCGAUCCCAACUGAGGUGUUGUUCUAGAUUGCAAAUUGAUGCUCGCGCUUGUUAUUGCCUUCUUUUGUUUAACUCUUUAUCACGCAGUUUUUUUUUUUUUUUUUUAAAGGAAUAGAGCACAUGAUGAAUGUUGAUAAUGGGGAAAUGAUAAUUUGCUUCCAGUUGCAAGCCCUCAACAUUACUAUUAUGCAAAUCUCCUCUCCUGAGAGGAAAUGUGGGACUCUCUUUCUUUCUCUCUCAUUUUUUACUGUUCGAUGUGGGUAGGAUGGAGUAAUCGAGUUGUACUUUUUGUGCUUGCAGUCACAUAAAGUACAUUUUGAGAGGAUGCGAUUCCCGUUGUGGUAGGGCCUUGUGGUUGAUUCAUCUGUUGUAUUCUGUUUCUCAUCUGCAUCAUGUUUGAUUUCGUCAAGUUGCUGAUUUUUGUCUUCAGUUGAAUUGUGUCUAUUGACAACUUAUUUCUAUUUCUUACUUGACUGUGAAGUUGUUUACCUCAAUUUAUUUUUCUACUAUAUUUCUGCAGUGUAGUGGUUGUUCCAUUUGCAUAAAGAUCUUGUGUCUACAUUGGUGAAAAGUCUUCACUUAUUUUUUAAGAUGUGAUUAGGGUGGUCUGGGUAUAGCUCUUUCUCUUCCUCCACAGAGUCCACUUCUUCAUUCUAGUUGCUUGUUUCUGGUCAUUGCAGCAACAAGAUCUUUUUCCUACUGAUUUGAGGCCAAAAAAUUUGUAGAAGUCAUCUCUUGGUAUGACCUACUUUCUCAUCAGCAUUCUUUUCCUCUUUCGGGACCUGAUUGUGUUUCUUUCUCAGUGUUGUUCUUCAUAUAAUAUGCCUAGUUUAUUAUGUGGUAAUUGAUUAUUAUGUUCGAUCUGUUGCUUUAGUGGAUCCAUCUGGAUGGGAGAUCCAAUGAUGCCUCCAGGUUCUUAUGUGCUCUUCUUGACCAGAGGUUUGAGCGAUGUGAUCAUUUCUGUAAAGUCUUGAUGGCAAUAGAUGUGUAGUGUGCGAUAGAGUGAUGUGAUCGGUUAUGUGCCUUGAUGGUUGUGGAAUUGUGUGCAACAGUUUUGGACAGCUUGAUAACGUCUGUGCUUCCUAUUCCAGGAGUUGCCAUGGGUGAGGAUCUGGACAUCUUGCAUAUUUUCAGUUCAUCCGAUUUCCUGUUGUAGUUUGCUAUGGUGGACUCUCUUUGAUAAGUUCUAGUAAGGUCGUCGAGUGAUUGGCUUGGACCUAUUUCUUUUCUUGUUCUAGCACAGGAUUUUCUUAAGUAAGUGUUCUUUGAGUUGUUAUGGCAUUGCAGAUGGCAUCUUGUUGAAUUUAGAUGGAUGGGUAAAGCGAGUAUUAAUUUUUAUUUUGGGUAAAGUAAGCAUCUGCAGUAAUGAGCAUCUAGAGGAUGAGGCAAACCAAGUCUUAUCUCUUCUGUCUAGAAGAUGAAGCAAAGCAAGUCUAGUCUAUUUUCAACUGGUGCAUUUAUUAUUCUGGCACUCUGUAGACAUAACAAUGUUGAAUUUUGCUACCCGGAUGAACAUGAUAAAGCAUUCCUACUUUUUUUUUUUUCCCUUUUGUUUGUCAUGGAUUGUUUUUCUUGAAGGAAUGGAAUCGGCGGUGAUCAUUGUGAUACUGACUUUGUUUCCCGUUAUGAGGCUCUCAGCACUCUUCUUUCCAGGUCGUUUUGGUGCUCCUGUCAUGCAGAUUGUCAGCUUCUGGAAUUAAGGUGGUUCUCUCUCUCUCUCUCCCGUCUGAUCAUUUCUUGGAGUGAGAUGGGGUGUCUCUGAACUGUCAACUCAUCAGUAAACUUUGCUUCCUGUUCUUGCAGUCGUAGGAACUUAAAUGUGAAGAUGGUUCCCUUGUUUUGGGGGUGGGUGAGUAUACUGAGGUAUGAGCUGUGGUUAUUUUGUUGAGAUGCUUAUCUUCUUUGAUCACAUGCACGAAGUUGUCGGGGACUACGGGGGAUUGCUAAUGUCUAAGAGCUACUUUAAUCCGUGAGGUUGUGGCUACUUUGGCCUGUGUUCCCUGCCUAGCAUUCGUAGAUUGAUUUAAGUUUUGAUUCAAGAGUAGAGCACAUGGGAAGUUGAUUGAUGCUAUAAGAUGUGGAUAAUGCACCUCUACUUACAAGCUCUCAGCAUUGUCCUGAUCAGUUGGGAGGGAAGAGGGUGGUGGGUUUGUUGGGUUUCUCUCGUCUGUGUGUGUUUGAUUCCACAGGCUGGAUUUGGUUACCAGGACUUACUCUUUGAUGUUUGUAGUUGGGGAAUUAAAAUAGGUGGUGAUAUUAUUCUUGAUUUGGUGGGACUUUCUGUCUGAUUCAGGAAGUUUUUCCUAUUUUUUGUAUGCAUAAUAUUUCUGUCAACUUUGUUAGUUCACGAGAUUUUCCACUUCAGUCUUUUUGCAUACUUCCCUUACUGUUUCCAAUGCCCCAAAACUUUAUUUUUUCCUUGUCGUUUGUUUCUGAGAUAUUUUUGCUGAAUUUAUUUUAUCUAGGAGGUGGGGUGGAGGUUGUUCCAUUUGCAUGGUGUUAGCAAUUCCUAGGUUGGUGGAUUAUGUGAAGUCAAGACAAAUCACUUUUUUUAACAUCCUAUUAGGAUGUUUCUUAACCAUUGUCUCGUAGCAGUAGUGUCCCUCUUCAUUCAAGUUGGUUGCUGGGCCAGAUGCAUCAAGAAAGUUAAUGGUUUUAAAGGAACAAUUUAGAAGUCUUUAUCUGUUGGUCUGACUUAGGUUGUCAAUUAAAAGAUGGUAAUGGGGAGUACUUGCAGGGACAAUUUCUACUCUUUGAUUGCCAAUGGUUUUCCUUCGGUGUCUAGUUUGUUAUGUCUUCCUUCUUGGGGUUUGUUAUGUGAUUCUUCCGCUACACGGCGUGAUAUAUAGGCAAUUGAUCAGUUGAUUUGGUGGAAUUUUUUGGGUGCUCAAGGUGUCUAGUUUGUUAUGUCUUCCUUCUUGGGGUUUGUUAUGUGAUUCUUCCGCUACACGGCGUGAUAUAUAGGCAAUUGAUCAGUUGAUUUAGUGGAAUUUUUUGGGUGCUCGAGCAUGAGUUCAGGAGUUGGUAGUUAAGUCCUUGCUUGAUCGCAUUUGGAGGUCUUUUAGGGGUUUGUCAGGUACAUUUAGUUUAUAGGUUUUCUUGUUUAUGAUUUUGGUUAGCGAUGCGUACUGAAAAGUGAGCAGUGCACUUGGGCAUUUGUUUGCACAUGCUUCUUCUUCUUUGUGAGUGUCUUUUUUUUUAAAUGUUCCCAUUGCCCUCUCCUAUAGGGGUUCUUACCCAGGUGUGGUCCAAGUUGUUCUGGAUGCAUGGGUGGGGCAUCUCGGACUGCGAAUGCAGUUGCUUGUCUGUUUAUUUUGUGUAGAUUAACCUUUUAGCGAGUCUAGAUAAUAUUUGUUUGAGCUUCUCCAAGACUGAUGUUGUUUGAAGGUAUCUCAAUUGGAUAAUGAAAAAAUUCUUCCUCCAAUUGUGCGUGCCCCUUUACUUUCCUCCGUAAGUUCUUCAAAUUCACAAGCUUUCAUCAAUCAGGACUCUCUGGUUGAAGAAGAAAUAAUGCACCUUCUACUUUUUAGUCUCUGUUCAUGACGGCUUGAUCUUAGAUGAAUAAAGCGCUCGGAGUUUAAUGAAGUUAGUUACGGCAGUUUUUCUUUGGUUAUAACAACACAUUUCUUUUGAGGUGCUUGUCCCAUUAUGGUGCAGAUCUUGUCAGCUACUACAAAAUCAGGUGAUUCUUUCUCUCUCUGGUCUCUUUAUGUGAUAAUUUCCUAAAUGGCAUAAUGGGGAGCUCUGAGGGUCUCUGACUCGUAAUUCUGCAUUCAUUAUGGUUAGAUCUUGUCUGCAUCUAAGGAAGGAGGUUUCUCUAUUUGGUCUCGUUAUGUCUGAUGAUUUUCCGGUUGAUUAGGUUGUGCGAACUUCAGUAUCCAUAACUGGGCCUAGACUCUAGUUCGCUAUUUCUUCCUCCUCCUGGGAUUUUCCAGUCUUAUUUUUCGCUUGCCUUACAGGGUAUGGGUUGCCCAAUUUUCUGUCUUUAAAUCAGAUGGUCUAGCUUUUCCUUUUGGAGAUUCAAGCGUGAGUUCAGGUUUUGGGAGUUUUUAGUGUUCGCUUUGGUGGGAAGGUCAGUCAUGUGAUUAUCUGGUUGAUGAUCAAAUUGCGUCGUUGGAAUGGUUGCGGACGUCUAGCAGCUUGAUCUCAUUUGGAAUCCCUAGUUCAAUCAUGGAUGUGUUUCUGACUCCAACCUCGUUUAUUUCUUUCGACUUGUAUGGUAUGAUUUGAGAUGGUAACUUCUUUGGAUGAAUUUAACGAAGUACUGUCUUCUCUUCAGAUCUUACAAAAUUAUCUUGACCUUUUACCUUUAUCUCUCUUUCUACAUAAUGAUAUUUAGGUGCGGUCUGAGUUGUUAUGGUUUCUUUGGCGGCAUUUUGGAUUUUAGAUGAAACAGUGAGAGGUUCUUUCCUUUGGUUAGUGAUAUCCUGCUUGGCCAUAUUUUCGGUAGUGGUUUCUCUUGGAUGUUUGUGUCCUAGAAAAAAGAGAUCUUUGUUCAUAUCGAGUCCCUUUAGCUGUAGAAAUUGCCUUUUAUGAACUGCUGUUAAUUUUGUUUUGAUGCUUCUGCUUUUUGAUCCCAAGUAAAGAUCUGUCUGGUCAGCACGCACGCACAUUGUUGACCUAGGAUUAGGGUGAAAGGCUGUGCUAUCUGUGGUCUCAUUUAUAUUUGAUUAUUUCAUAGGUUGGACAGGGCUUGCCUGGACUUUGGAUUUAUUAACUGAGCUUUCUUUAAAGUGUCUGACACUUAUAUGUUAAGAUGGCCCCCUUUACAUGGAAGCUUGGGCUGCUGUUGUUUUGGAGAGAGAGAUAAUAAACAACUUUGGAACCUGAUUGUUUGGUUGCCUCGACUGUGCAGGAGUGAUAAUGUUCAAUUGAGCUGCUCUGAUAUGUGGAUGCUACUUUGACUUUGUCCUUGUUUGUCGGUUUUCUAGACAUAUUUGAUUGUGGGACAAGGGUUGUAUCUUUGUUCAUCUGUCCUCUGUGAUCAUCUAAUUAACGAGUGAGAAUUGCUUAACUUGUGUCCGUUUCAGGUUAUGUUGUAACUUGUUAGCCUGAUGUUGAAUUCUAUAUGCAAAUGAGCAUAUGCUAGCACAGAUCAUGUGGUGUACCAAGGUCUUGAGAGUUGGCGAUUCUAUUGAUCAACUAGGUUGCUACGUCAGCUCAUUUUCACCGAUCUUUACUUGUGACCUUUUUUUUUUUUUUUUUUUUCAGGUCACAUGAAAUUUGGAGCUUUAGGGACUCCAUCAGCUACACGUCCUGGUUCAUAUACCAGUUUCCUUCUGGCAUUGACCUUUUUAAUGCUUGUUCCAAUUAUUUUUGUCAAUUUGCACCUGUGUAGUUUAGCAUUGCCUCAUGGAAAUGCUUUCUUCUUUGCUAGAUAACUGCUUGGCUGUGGCAGCAAGAGGAUUUCUUGGUAGUCCUUUUGGUCUCGUUAUACUGUUAAGUGUGCUUCUGUAUGAAGGUUCAUGGCCAAUCCUGAUCCCUUUUGAUUCUUAUGAGCAUCUAGGUCUAACUUUUGCUGAAUUAGCUAUGAAGGUUCAUGGCCAAUCCUGAUCCCUUUUGAUUCUUAUGAGCAUCUAGGUCUAACUUUUGCUGAAUUAGCUAUGCUGGAGGUUGUUAAUUCUGGAAAAAAAUGCAUCACGUUCUUUUUGCUGGUGCUGUCCUAGAUUGGAUUCUUGGCCACUCUUCAUCUUCAGCUAGCUAAAUGAAGUUAGUCUGACUUGUUUGGAAUAUUUAGUUGAGUUCUUGCCCUCAAGUCAGAUGUGCGAAAGCUUGGAAGUAUAUUAGCUACUUGCAGGAUAGCUAAAGGAGGUCGGUGAAAUAACUGUGCAUCUGGAUUUUCAAUCUUCAAUUGAGGUUAGGUAAUUUUCCGCCAGGUCUGGGUCUUUUUGGUGCAUUAGUGGAUUUCCUUGCGAUUGUUAUGGUGUUGAGACUUGAACUCCAAUGAGUGGAAUCAAGUGUGCGACCAAUUUUGAGGUUAAGUUUUUUAGUGGCGAAUUCAGUUUUGAGCAUUACUUUUGCCUUCUUUGAAACGAGCAGGGCCUGUUAACCUGGCUGUAGGUGUUAUCAGUACCAUAGCGCAUCAGUUGUUGGGUCUAAGAUUCAUUAGUUGAAAUUACUCUGUUUUCUUUUCCUCGAUUUCUUUUGUGCUUUCCUUUGCAUAUCUCUCCUUUUAGAUGUAUUCUUCCCAUGGUUGGGGAGAUGGAUUACACAAUUUGUCUGGCAUUUCUGCAUGUUUUCAUUUGCUAUGUCCUUGGAAAUUACGGGCAAUUUUGACUGCCUUAACUUUAUUUUGUUUGCUUCUGGCACUAUGUGGAGACAGGCAUUCCCUCUUCUUGAAGGGAGUUGUUAGGUAUGAUUGUAUUCUGAAGUAGAUUGUUAUAAGGAUGCGAGGAACUUCUUUCUUUCUCCUUUUUCAUGCUAGUAUAUUCCUUUGCUGAUUAGAAGUAGCAAGCCAUUCUAUCUGGUACGGAUUGUAGUCGCUCAUGAAGCCUGACGUAGCCGCGGCAGGGGAAUCCAACUGACAAGAGUUUUUCUAGACUCAUAUAUAUACUUGUUUCCACUCUCAAUUCAAGUGAUAUGGGGAUUCUUAUGGAAAUUUCUGCAUGUUGAAGAACAGUAAGCAGCUCUGGCCAAGUUGUUUCCACAAAUCCUGGUAUGCUAGCAGAUGUUCUUUUGAGUUUUUGCAUGCUUUAAAUAAUGUUAGUGGACUGUUAGUUUAUCAGAAGUCCUCAUUAGGAGGAGUACUCUGGAGUGUCUUUUAAGAGAAAUCUUUACUCAUCAGUAACUUCUUUUUUUAAAGCUAAUUGCUCCAUCCUUAUGUGGUGUAGGUUUUCACCUACUUCAAUCUCUUUGUCGACCAUUCUUGAUGUUUUCAAUCAAAAAUACAUUUGUCCCAAAUUUUUCUGUCAGCUUGCUGGUGCUUGUACUUUUCUAUUUCUCAUCCGUCUACUGAAUUUAGCUUUUGUGCUUUACGUCCUUUUUCUUGGUCUCUACUUUUUUCUAGUUUGGUUGUAUUGGGAAGAGGUCAAUGUUAUGUAUUCUUGUGUGCUCUUUUUAUUACGACUACACGCUUGUUUGACCCAAUUGGUUGCUGCACAUGGCUUCAACCAGUCAUGGCGCACAGGCUUGAGGAAUGCUGUGCUCAGUUUUAUCUGUGUUUAUUGUUUAUGCUAAAGCAGGAGAACUGGUCAGGGCAGAUGACUUCCCGGGUGAUAUGGUUCCUUGCUCAAUUUUAUAGUCAACAAGUUACUAGUUGUGAGUGUGAAUAUGUCCUCGAUUUUGUUAGACGAAAGUUAUUUCCUUUAAUCCGAGAGUUCCUUGGUAAUUCCAUGGUUUUCUAUGUUUGUCCCAGGAUUAUUUGUAGAGCUGCAUUUUGUUUUUUUUUUUUGUUGCUGAAUAGUCGAUAGUUAUGGCACACUUGGUGCAAUAUUUUUGUGUGACCCUUGCAACUCCGCCUGUCUAGUCAGCCGGUCCCAAGCCCGGGAAAAGGAGGAGGGCAAGUAUCAACAUUGAGGAGGUGGUCAUUAGUUUCUUCCUCCCCUCCGUUGUUUUGUGAGUUUUGUGUUAAGGUCUCCUAUGUUUGCCCUAAGAUUAUUUGUGGAAUACUGGUGCAACUUUUUCUGUGUGGCCCUUGUAGGUCUCAAAUUAGCGGGUUCUAAGCCUUGAGAAAAGAGGGGGCAAGUGUUGAAGGAUGCUGCUCUGAAUUUAAAGCUGUUGGUGAAUUUUCUUCUGCUAGCUUCGGAAAAAAGAGUUGGAUUGCUCUGGAAAAGGGCAUAAAUGGGCUUGCUGAAUAAAAUCAAGAAAGCAACAUUUAACGUCAUUCCUGAAUUGCUUGGAGAGAAUUUAAUCCGUGGUAGAGGCUUGUUUUGCAUAUCCAUUAUGAAAUCACAAAUUCACCAGUUUUCACUGAUGUUUUCAAGCAUUAGUUUCCGUUUAACUCAAUAUUCCACAAAUUCGUGAACUUGUACAUAACAGGAUCAAUUUGCAAUUGCAAAGAGCUUAUGAUGAUAAUAAAAAUAAAGCUCAGACGUUAGCAGCGUAAAAUUUAUUGGUCAUCUUGUCAAUCAGCAAGUUGUUCAAGAAUGUAUAGCUCUGUCAUUAGUUCCUACCGGCUACCGCUGAUUGUGUUGAUGUAGCAGUUGGUUUAAUUAAGGAAUGUGGUUCGAUGCUUCAGGAUCUGUGUCUAUUAGCGUUGCAUGGAAUUUUGAGUGAUUUCGAGGGAUACUUCAUGAAGGAGAAAUUAAUAAAGAGAGUUUAGUUCUUGAUUGAAGACCUUCUUGCAUUGCAGAAAGGCAGGAUUCAGAACUGCUGUUCGUCUGGAACUUGACCUUGUUGAGCAGGAAGAUCAAUUAACUCUCAUUUCUCUCUGAGAAGGAGGAUAUUAGGUGGCGGUGAUCCAGACGAAGAAUCCGAGGACGAUCAGCAGAUGAAAAUUGAAGAUGAGACAAGACAGACAGACUUGUUCAAUCUACGGUGGACGAUAUACUUGACGAUUAUGUCAAGUGCCGAGUUAGAAGCAGCAGGGCAUAAGCUGUUGAAAAUUAAACUAGAACCUGAUCAGGAGAUGGAAUUAUACAUAAUGUUAUUGGAGUGCUGUAGCCAGGAGAAGACUUUUCCCCAUUAUUUUUCUCUUCUGGGGCCCGCGGUUAUGCAUGGUCAAUGAAGUUCAACAACAACAACACACCAAUCAAAUUAGAUUAUGGGUAAGGAUUCAAAUUAUUUAGAAGGGAAGGAAUUAUUCAGAAUCCACAAAUGUGGUAAAAAUCAAUGUUUAUAAAUAUAAAUAUAUGUAUAAUGUGUAUGGUGUCGUAAAAUAUAUAUAAACGAAAGUAUAUAUGUAUGUAAAGAAAAGAUAAGAUCAAAUAAAGAAAAAUUGUUCUAACG